UCAGGCUCAGGACGAACGCUGGCGGCGUGCCUAAUACAUGCAAGUCGAACGAACUCUGGUAUUGAUUGGUGCUUGCAUCAUGAUUUACAUUUGAGUGAGUGGCGAACUGGUGAGUAACACGUGGGAAACCUGCCCAGAAGCGGGGGAUAACACCUGGAAACAGAUGCUAAUACCGCAUAACAACUUGGACCGCAUGGUCCGAGUUUGAAAGAUGGCUUCGGCUAUCACUUUUGGAUGGUCCCGCGGCGUAUUAGCUAGAUGGUGAGGUAACGGCUCACCAUGGCAAUGAUACGUAGCCGACCUGAGAGGGUAAUCGGCCACAUUGGGACUGAGACACGGCCCAAACUCCUACGGGAGGCAGCAGUAGGGAAUCUUCCACAAUGGACGAAAGUCUGAUGGAGCAACGCCGCGUGAGUGAAGAAGGGUUUCGGCUCGUAAAACUCUGUUGUUAAAGAAGAACAUAUCUGAGAGUAACUGUUCAGGUAUUGACGGUAUUUA
rnacentral:rRNA from 2 species